AGGCGACGACGGGUAGCCGGCCUGAGAGGGUGAUCGGCCACAUUGGGACUGAGAUACGGCCCAGACUCCUACGGGAGGCAGCAGUGGGGAAUAUUGCACAAUGGGCGGAAGCCUGAUGCAGCGACGCCGCGUGAGGGAUGACGGCCUUCGGGUUGUAAACCUCUUUCAGCAGGGACGAAGCGUAAGUGACGGUACCUGCAGAAGAAGCACCGGCUAACUAUGUGCCAGCAGCCGCGGUAAUACGUAGGGUGCGAGCGUUGUCCGGAAUUACUGGGCGUAAAGAGCUCGUAGGCGGUUUGUCACGUCGUCUGUGAAAUCCUAGGGCUUAACCCUGGACGUGCAGGCGAUACGGGCUGACUUGAGUACUACAGGGGAGACUGGAAUUUCUGGUGUAGCGGUGGAAUGCACAGAUAUCAGGAAGAACACCGAUGGCGAAGGCAGGUCUCUGGGUAGUAACUGACGCUGAGGAGCGAAAGCAUGGGUAGCGAACAGGAUUAGAUACCCUGGUAGUCCAUGCCGUAAACGGUGGGCGCUAGGUGUGGGGUUCCUUCCACGGGCUCCGCGCCGUAGCUAACGCAUUAAGCGCCCCGCCUGGGGAGUACGGCCGCAAGGCUAAAACUCAAAGGAAUUGACGGGGGCCCGCACAAGCGGCGGAGCAUGCGGAUUAAUUCGAUGCAACGCGAAGAACCUUACCAAGGCUUGACAU
rnacentral:rRNA from 1 species